AACGAACGCUGGCGGCAUGCCUAACACAUGCAAGUCGAACGAUGCUUUCGGGCAUAGUGGCGCACGGGUGCGUAACGCGUGGGAAUCUGCCCUUGGGUUCGGAAUAACAGUGAGAAAUUGCUGCUAAUACCGGAUGAUGUCUUCGGACCAAAGAUUUAUCGCCCAGGGAUGAGCCCGCGUAGGAUUAGCUAGUUGGUGGGGUAAUGGCCUACCAAGGCGACGAUCCUUAGCUGGUCUGAGAGGAUGAUCAGCCACACUGGGACUGAGACACGGCCCAGACUCCGACGGGAGGCAGCAGUGGGGAAUAUUGGACAAUGGGCGCAAGCCUGAUCCAGCAAUGCCGCGUGAGUGAUGAAGGCCUUAGGGUUGUAAAGCUCUUUUACCCGGGAUGAUAAUGACAGUACCGGGAGAAUAAGCUCCGGCUAACUCCGU
rnacentral:rRNA from 1 species